UUUGGCUCUGACUUUAGAGUCAAGAAGGGACUAUUGGAACAAUUGGUGCUGGUUAGCUGAAGCUAAGAAAUUAGUGGUGAUUGAGAAGAGACCAGCAUUACUGAGGUGAAAUCUUCUGGACAAUGUUUUCUGAGAACAGAAAGAAGCUGUGUUCCAGAGAUAGCCAAGGUUGUACUGUAGCUGGAGUUGGUAAUGUGUAAGAAUCACCCAGAUGAUACUGGUCCUAAAGGCAUGAAAGCUGUAUGAAGAGCAGCUGAGGCCUGUCACUGUGAGAGGACACAGAAGGCCGUUGGUGAAGGUGCAGCCCCAGUUGUAGUUGACUACCCAGGACUAAAGGGGUCAUGCAACAAAGUUGAGGCUUGGCACCAUGAAGAGAGCCUAUGAGAGGCUAUUGGUGAAGCAUAGUUUCUGUGGAAGAUCACAACAUAUUGGAGAUGCCAGUACCAUGGCAUGAUCACCAAGAAGAGCAGCAGCAAUGGAGUGGAGUCAACCAGAGCUUAGAGUGCUACAGAGGGCAAAGCUGGAGAUGGAGCCCUUUGGAGGAGUCCAGAAGAUCAUGCGUGUAUCCCAGACAUUGGAACAAAAAGUUGUAACAUUGAAGUUGCCUUGGAGACCCCACAAUGUUUGAGAUGCCAUAGCCCUGGUCUAUCUGCUGAGGAAAGCUGCUAAUGGAAUGGAACCAGCUCAGGAGAAAGAAGUUUGUUGCAGUCAGCAAAGAUGGAAAAGGUGUGGAAAUCUGAAGACCACUUUGACAUCAGACAUGGAGGUGUUUGUUUGGAGUUUGCUCAGCUGGCUUCCUGUCUUGCCUUGGGGUUUACAGUUAAGUGAUUGGACGCAUCUUAGAAGAGACUUUGAACAUAGGACUUUUAACUUUGUUAAGACUGCUAUAGACUAUGGGGACUUUGGAAGUUGGACCAAAUGUACUUUUUUAUUAUGCUAUGGCUAGGUAUGGCCCCCAUAGACUCAUGUAUUUGAACAAACCUAUGGGGGCCAGGGAAUGGAAUGUGAUGGUUUGUAUAUGCUUGGCCCAGGAAGUGUCACUAUUUGGAGGUGUGGCCUUGUUGAAGUAGGUGUGUCAUUGUAGCCGUGGGCUUUAAUACCCUAGUCCUAGCUGGCUGGAACCCAGUAUUCUGCUAGCAGCCUUCAGACGAAAAUGUAGAACUCUCAGCUCCUCCUGCACCAUGCCUGCCUGGAUGCUGCUAUGCUCCUACCUUGAAGAUAAUGGACUGAAUCUCUGAACCUGUAAGCCAGCCCCAAUUAAAUGUUGUCCUUUAUAAGACUUGACUUGGUUAUGGUGUCUGUUACAGCAGUAAAACCCUAACUAAGACAUAUGCCAUAUCUAUUUAUAAGGACUUUGGACGAGCACAGAAAGGAACUUACCAGAGUCUCUUUGUACUUCGUUCACGUAGGGCAGACAUAGUCACCAAGAGGCCCUCCAAAACCACAAUUUGCCCUCCUGGAUGACUGAGCUGUUCUUUAUAGGCCCCAUGGCCAGGGCUAUUUUCAGGCAUGGUGUAGUUUCAGUUUGAAGGCAAUUGCUCUUUUUGAUUACACUCUGUUUCUGUCUACGGAGGGGAGCCACCGAAGAACUUAAGUUGAUUUGAAGUCUAAAUUCUUGCAGUGCCGACACUUCCUUGUAGGCACCAAAUAGAGAACAUUUAGUUACUGUCGCUGUGCUGCGCAGUCUGCAUUUGGACUGCACACAAAGAAGCCGUCCUGUGUGCUGUUGUGUUUGUCAAUGGGGAAUUUUGCCAGAUGCUGCACUCUGAGCAGAAAGUGAUACGGGUAUGUAUUUACACGCAUGCGCAUUUACACUUUGGAAUCUAAGACUUCUUUCAAGCUCCAGUUGUGUGUGUAAGACUCUGAGCUGAAAAUGGCCUCUGGGCAAGUGUAGAUCAUCUGAGCUGAGGACCUUUUGGUUGAAAACCAACGUCCACUUUUAUACAUUGUUGCGAAAAAGAUGCACCGCCUUUAAUAUUGUCACUUCAUUUCUCAUUUUUUUGAAAAUAAUCAAUUGUUAGUACUUUGCAGCAGGGAUUAAUAAACUUUGCCCAUACAGGGAUGGGUUG
rnacentral:lncRNA from 1 species